rnacentral:ncRNA from 2 species
UCCACCGAGGGGCGCUGCGACCGUUCCGGACCUUUCCGGGGGCGGCCAGGCUCGGUGGCCAGGAUUGGUUCCAACGGCGCCCGGCGAAC